rnacentral:rRNA from 1 species
AUUGAACGCUGGCGGCAGGCCUAACACAUGCAAGUCGAGCGAUAGGCGGACGGGUGAGUAAUGUCUGGGAAACUGCCUGAUGGAGGGGGAUAACAACAGGAAACGGCAGCUAAUACCGCAUACCAUCAGAUGUGCCCAGAUGGGAUCAGCUAGUAGGUGGGUUAACGGCUCACCUAGGCGACGACCCCUAGCCGGGCUGCGAGGAUAACCAGCCACACUGGGACUGAGAUACGGUCCAGACUCCUACGGGAGGCCGCAGUGGGGAAUAUUGCACAAUGGGGACAAGCCUGAUGCAGCCAUGCCGCGUGUGUGAAGAAGGCCUUCGGGUUGUAAAGCACUUUAAGCGGGGAGGCGUUACCCGCAGAAGAAGCACCGGCUAACUCCGUGCCGGCCGCCGCGGUAAUUC